GUCGACUUGGCCGAGUGGUUUCUAAGGCGCUGGUCUUGAAUAGCGCUAUGGCGGAAGCUAUGCACCAGACAACCAGUGGGAUUUCCCGCACAGGUUCGAAUCCUGUAGUCGACG